UGUGUGUGAAGAUCCUUUAGGUGCGCAGGAGUCCUCCAGGGAGGAAUGGUGGCAGCAGCUCCUGCAUGAGGUCGAUGGCGCUUCUCCCGCUGAUGGGCGAGCCCUACUGUGUGGGACCUUCCCAAGAAGCCGAGCAAGACGGAGGUGCAGCCCUCCCGCAGAAUGAAGCCAACAGACAUGAGACCACACGUUCAAACCUUCAUUUCCUUUUAGAAAAGGACUCAAACCAAAGAGGAAACUAAUUCAGGGCAAAGCCAUGCCAGGAAAAUGUGAAGAAGCAAACAAUGUCUAUGAAUAUACGUGACAGACGCUCCAUGGAGAACGCGCAGCUGGCUAUGACCUUCACUGUGGACGGAGCUGGCUGUGACCUUCGACCUUCACUGUGGGUUGAGCUGGCUGUGACCUUCAACCUUCACUGUGGGUGGAGCCAGCUGUGACCUUCACUGUGGACAGAGCUGGCUGUGACCUUUGACCUUCCCUGUGGAUGGAGCUGGCUGUGACCUUCACUGUGGACGGAGCUGGCUGUGACCUUCACUGUGGACAGAGCUGGCUGUGACCUUCGACCUUCCCUGUGGAUGGAGCUGGCUGUGACCUUCACUGUGGACGGAGCUGGCUGUGACCUUCGACCUUCCCUGUGGACGGAGCUGGCUGUGACCUUCGACCUUCCCUGUGGACGGAGCUGGCUGUGACCUUCCUGCACUGUGGACGGUUGCUUUGUUUUGUUGAAAUUCUGAUAUAGAAACUUUGUGGACCACUUUAUGUUAAACAUAGCUGGACAUAGCUUUAAUUCUGGUUUGAUAAGCAAAUUUGUGUAAAAGAUAUGUCUUACAAGAAUACAAUUUUUGACAACUUCA